rnacentral:misc_RNA from 1 species
UCCGGCUUUCACCGGCUGUCCCCUUAGAGUGCCCACCCGAAGUGCUGGCAACUAAGGGCAAGGGUUGCGCUCGUUGCGGGACUGAACCCAACAUCUCACGACACGAGCUGACGACAACCAUGCACCACCUGUCACCGCUGCCCCGAAGGGAAGGCGCAUCUCUGCACCGGUCAGCGGGAUGUCAAGCCCUGGUAAGGUUCUUCGCGUUGCUUCGAAUUAAACCACAUGCUCCACCGCUUGUGCGGGCCCCCGUCAAUUCCUUUGAGUUUCAGCCUUGCGGCCGUACUCCCCAGGCGGAGUGCUUAAUGGGUUACCUUCGGCACUGAGGGCUCAGGACCCCCAACACCUAGCACUCAUCGUUUACGGCGUGGACUAC